UGGGACUUUGCUGAGUCCAAGGUCCCUGCUUGCUCCUGCUUCCUGUGGAGUCGUGUGGAGCUGGGGGUGGGGUGGGGUUGGCUGGCUUUGAAGGCUAGGGGAGGACGUGGAGGGGCAGUCUCCCUGCAGCUCUAACCCCUCCCUCCUCUGUGAGGGGUCUGGACUAAGUGUCUUCAGUGACAGGACUUACUAAUAAGAGGUUCAUGACCCGGGCAGGAAAAUGCACUGGAGGGGGUGGGGAUGGAGAUGGGGUGGGAGACCCGCGAGGAGACUACUCUGAGACUAUGGAGAAUUGAUGGCAGUCUGGAAGUAUGUACUGGCCACUGACGUGAAUUUGUGAAAAAUCUUAAAUGUGCUAGAAGCACACUGGUGGGAGAGUGGUGUGUGAAAGAUGCCCCUCAAGUUUCUGGCAGAGAAAACUGAGUGAACACAGGUGCCCUUUACUAGGUAAGGAAAAUGCAGGAUGGGAUAAGCUGAAGAGGAAAAGCCAGUCUCCUUGGGUUUGUUUGUUUUUUUGAGACCAGAGGAUCAGGCCUUGCCUGGUAUUCACUGGGACCGGGCCAGGAGGGGGUCUGGAUGGCUGUACCCAGGCAAUGGGUGACACACAAUCUUAACAAGCCUUAGGGCACUGUCUGUUCAGCCUGGAGCUGGUCCCGGAAGCUCCUGAUAUCAGGUUAACCCAUGGGGGACCAGGUUGUGAGAGCUCCUGGGUCACCUGUUGGGGAAGAAAAAUCAGCCAGGCUGGGGGCCAUUCCCUGCGCAGUUUACCAGCCGACAUGGAAUCGUUUCAGUGACACCCCUGGGCUGGGCUCUGCUGCUUCUCCACUCUCCUGAGACCACCCGGCCCCGGACAUGAGGAACUCAGACUUGGAUCUGGAUCAGGAUUGGGGCUCUGAGUGACUAACUUCAGGUGCGAAUUCUGAGGGCAGAUUUGGGGUCUGCCAGGGUCCCUGAACCUUCUCAUGCUGCUGAGUUUAGAGACGCCCCUGAAGUCCUGGCCUUUCAGAGCAGGUAAGUGGGCUUUGAAGACACUUGUGGGUGAGAAGAGCAAGCAGGGAGCAGCAGGGUUGAG
rnacentral:lncRNA from 1 species